rnacentral:rRNA from 1 species
UACGUAGGGACCAAGCGUUGUUCGGAUUUACUGGGCGUAAAGGGCGCGUAGGCGGCGUGACAAGUCACUUGUGAAAUCUCUGGGCUUAACCCAGAACGGCCAAGUGAAACUGUCGUGCUAGAGUGCGGAAGGGGCAAUCGGAAUUCUUGGUGUAGCGGUGAAAUGCGUAGAUAUCAAGAGGAACACCUGAGGUGAAGACGGGUUGCUGGGCCGACACUGACGCUGAUGCGCGAAAGCCAGGGGAGCAAACGGG